rnacentral:rRNA from 1 species
CAGCCGCCACGGUAAUACGAAGGGUGCAAGCGUUAAUCGGAAUUACUGGGCGUAAAGCGUGCGUAGGCGGUUUGUUAAGUCUGUUGUGAAAUCCCCGGGCUCAACCUGUGAAUGGCAAUGGAUACUGGCAAGCUAGAGUGUGUCAGAGGAUGGUGGAAUUCCCGGUGUAGCGGUGGAAUGCGUAGAGAUCGGGAGGAACAUCAGUGGCGAAGGCGGCCAUCUGGGACAACACUGACGCUGAGGCACGAAAGCGUGGGGAGCAAACAGGAUUAGAUACCCCCGUAGUCCCUGUCUCUUAUAC